rnacentral:rRNA from 1 species
AUUGAACGCUGGCGACAGGCUUAACACAUGCAAGUCGAGCGGGGUGAUGGUGCUUGCACUAUCACUUAGCGGCGGACGGGUGAGUAAUGCUUAGGAAUCUGCCUAUUAGUGGGGGACAACAUCUCGAAAGGGAUGCUAAUACCGCAUACGUCCUACGGGAGAAAGCAGGGGAUCACUUGUGACCUUGCGCUAAUAGAUGAGCCUAAGUCGGAUUAGCUAGUUGGUGGGGUAAAGGCCUACCAAGGCGACGAUCUGUAGCGGGUCUGAGAGGAUGAUCCGCCACACUGGGACUGAGACACGGCCCAGACUCCUACGGGAGGCAGCAGUGGGGAAUAUUGGACAAUGGGGGAACCCUGAUCCAGCCAUGCCGCGUGUGUGAAGAAGGCCUUAUGGUUGUAAAGCACUUUAAGCGAGGAGGAGGCUCUUUUGGUUAAUGCCCAGAAUGAGUGGACGUUACUCGCAGAAUAAGCACCGGCUAACUCUGUGCCAGCCGCCGCCGUAACAC